UUUCACAAAGUUACAGAAUUUUCGAGUUGCUUGGAACAUUUCACGUAAAUGUGGCCAGAUGUUACUCACAGGUAUUCUGUGAGCACAUCCUGUGGUUCACUCUGAAAAAUGGAUUCUGUGGCUGUAUAAAUUAGGUGAAGCACAGGAAAUGUUGAACGACCACGCGUCAAGAGGAGCACAGAUGCUCUUCGGGAAACUUGGGACGAGCCGAGAAAUGCUGAAAAUCCAGCCUCUUUAUCUGUGGUUGAGGAAACUGACCCAGACAAAUUGUGACUUACCUAAGGUCAGAAUACUCAGUAUUGAGAAAGGAAGAUAAGGAGAGGAAAUGCCUUCCUGCUUAUUUUAACUCAGCUGGCCUCUCAAAUGGCUCUGGCCAUAUGUGACAAUUCUUCACUCUUGUGUCUACUGUUGAGCUUUUCCUGCAGAAGUUCAUUGCCUUUGACUCCAUCAAACAGCUCUUCUUGAGCCUUAUUCUGAUGAAGGCUAGUAACAGGGAGAAUACACUUGAGCACUUAUCACCGGCUGCCACUCUGGUCCUGGAAAGACUAGACUCCAAGAUGGAAACAAGAGACUGGAAUCCGACCAUGAGUAUCUGCUCCAGUCAGGUUUCUCUCGAGGGUGGGAUCUGGGCCUUAUUUGAACACCUGAGACCCUGCUCUUGAUCUCUGUGUUUUAGUGGUUUAGGCAAUUAUUUUCAUUGUCAGAUAUGGGUAAGAUAGCAGAACCCAGAAAAAUCCACAACAGUGGUUAUAUGAGAUCUUGAUCUCUAACUGUUAUUUAAAAUUCAGAAACUAUAGAACAUUCCUAACAAGUCUUCCAAGUAUGCCCCUUAGAGUGACACUUCUUUAAAAUGAUCCACGUGUCCUAGAAUUAUCUAGUUAACUCAUACAUGUAGGUGACAUUUCUACAGAGACAAAGACAGGCCAAAUGUUGAGUUUUGGAUGAAACACACUGAUGAGCAAAGCCAGAAGGAGAAUAUUUCAUAUUGAUGCAUUUAACCUAUAACUAUAAAAUUACAUUUUACAUAUAUUUAUUAGGCACUGGGGUUGGAUUCAGUGACUGUGCUGCGGGCUAUAUAUCACCACACACUCUCCUUUCCAUUUUCCUUCACCUUUUACUAGGGCUUUAUUUGAGUGAGCGACCCUCAAAGAUGAAAAGAUUCCAGAUUCAAAAGUGCUAGUUUGUGUGAAAUAUGGAUUACAGAGAGACCAGCUCUCCCUGGGCCAUAUGUCAGGCACAAUUCUCAUAGUUUUAUGGCUCAACAUUGAGGAUAUAUUUGAAGUAGUUUAUUCAAAGUGUUUCCUAACAGCUCUCUCUAACACCUGCCCAGGUGGUUAACAAAGCUGUACAAACAGAUCAAAGCUGUGGUUAUCGCCCCUGUUCUUUAUACAAUAAAUGUGUCAGGUAUCUGUCUGGUAUUUGAUAUAAAAAGGAAAUCUGCAACAGUCACAUCCAGCGAUAUAUACUACCAACAUUUGGGGCUGCUAACACUUUUGCCUGUUACGUCAAGGCAUCUGAAAGUUUAAAGCUUGGCAAAGUAAUGUUUUUCUUUUUCUUCUAUAAUCCCAUGGUAAACAUUAAGCAGACAGCAUUUCUGCUUUGAGCAUUAAAAAAAAAAAAAGUCUGAAUUUGAAAGGCCUGCAAGUACACUUUGGGGAUUUUGGAAAGUGUCGUUUGGCUGGGAUCUGGGAAGAGAGGCUGCCAUUCUGUCGAUGGGCAAGGAGGGAAGCCGCGUGGCCUGAUUCAUAACUUUGCAACUCCUGCAAAUACCAGCUGAUGAAUAUUUAUGUUAUCCCUGGCUUAGAACUGAAAGACAAACAGGGGGAAAAAAAAAACGAAAGUUGGGAAAGGUCGUCUGAAUUCUGGGGGAUUUUUUUUACCAACACUUUCCAUGCGUGAGCAGUAGCCCUGAAUGAAGUCAUUCUGUGCAGGGACCCUACCCAGGAAAACAGUCUGUUCAUUAGAGCCCUGUACUUUGUUUGAACCUUGUACAGUCAUGAGGUCCUGAAAGGGAAACCUUUUCCUUAAAUCUAACACACAGGAUAUAGAGCUACCUUAUUAUUAUUAUUAUUAUUUUGGUAACUAAUUGCAAAUUGCUCCUCAACAUAUAGCAACUUCAAUGGUUCAAAGAGAGAGCAAGUCAGUGAAGGAGAGCUUUUUAAAAACAUUAAAAGAAGAAGAAGAAGAAAAAAAAGAACAGUUCCAUACAAGGCUAC